rnacentral:rRNA from 1 species
CUAAGGAAACUAGCCGGUGAUAAGCCGGACGGAAGGUGGGGAUGACGUCAAGUCCUCAUGGCCCUUACACGCUGGGCUACACACGUGCUACAAUGGCGGUGACAGUGGGCAGCAACCGGGCGACCGGUAGCUAAUCUCCAAAAACCGUCUCAGUUCGGAUUGUUCUCUGCAACUCGAGAGCAUGAAGGCGGAAUCGCUAGUAAUCGCGGAUCAGCAUGCCGCGGUGAAUACGUUCCCAGGCCCU